UUUUUUUUUUUUUUUGGCAAUUACAUAUAUAAGCAUUUGUUUGUUUGACUACAUUUCUCGAAUCAUUGCUGUAUGUGAAUUUAUUUGGUUGUAUUUCUUCUAGACAUGCACUCUAUAGAUUUCAAUGAUUUUUUUUUCCAUCUCUUGUUGAAAUUUAUUGUUCAGAUCAUACUGAUCUUUAAGGAUCAGGAAACUUCUCUGACUGAAUCUUGCGAAUGAUGUGUUCAGUGUUACUUUUUAGUUUGGUGAUGAGAAUCUUUGGAAGUUCAGUGUCCUCUUCAUUUGAAUUUUUGGAAGUUCGCUGUUAGAUUCGCCCUCAUAUAAAUACAAGUUAACACUUGAUCCAGAACAAAAAAUAGCUUUAUUAUUGACAGUUGUAAGCUUUGUUAUGUUACUUUUUUUAUUUAACAACUUAAGCUGGGUUGUCCGUCACAAGAAUUUACAUUUUAGUACUAUUAAAAUCUAUAAGUGGGCUAAUAGAUAGUAUUGGGUAGUCAUUGAAGCAAAAGGUGUUUGGUUAAUCUCAAGGUGAAAUUUGUUUGUCAAAAGUAUCCUACAGAAUAAACUCUUUUUAAACUGUGCAGUAAUUUCUUGAUGUAGUUCGGUUUGUGUUGUGCUGCAAUUAUACUCUCUAAUGAGCAGCAUCACAGAAGCUCUUUAUUAGCAUUUUGGUAACAAAAUAUGAUGAAAUUAGUUAAUUUGAUUUUGAUGCCUGUGUUGGUUAUAUCAUAGUCUGCUGAACUAUGAUUUGCUCGGACUUUUUGCUUCUUUUUUUUUUUGUUCUGUUAUAACUAUGCUUCAUCAGGCCUCAACUAAACCCCCUUUAGUAGCAUUUCCUCAUUACUGUUUCAUUCUUGCAGACGGGAUUGCUCGGGUUAUUCUCAUUGAUGGUCUAGGAUUUUUUUGCUUUUAAAAGUAUGAAGGGUUGCUAAUAACUUUGUUAGAUAAGUACUGAUAUGAAAACGAAGAUAUGUUGCAGAAGAGGUUAAACAUUGUAUUUAAUGGUCAUGAGGUGCCUCCAGUUCCCCGAGCUGCCAGAUCACCCAGGGUAAGUGUCUCUAGCUUUUUGGGAUGGCUCAUCUUAUUUAACUUUUCCUUUCAAAUCUUAAAAUUUUUUAUUUUCUAACUUGUCCCUUGUUUUAGAGGAGGUUACCUUGUAGGAAGAAAAUUGGUGACCAUCAAAUGUGUGCAUUCGACUUGUUGGCAACAGUUGCUGGCAAAUUGCUAGAGGGAGAAAGUACUCCUAGCGCGACUGAGUUAUUAAUUGGAGAAGAUGAAAGUUCCCUCGGAAAAGAUUUUCUCAAGACGGAAAAAGUGGCUGAAGAGAACCCUGAGCAAGUAAACCCGUCUCAUAAAGAAGACCGUGGCAGAAUAUUGUUUGUUUCUGAUACUAAUCCACAAGCACCUGAGGAAAGACAUGAUAUUAAGGGAGUGCCAAAUGUGCAGAAUGAUGCUUGUUCAGCAUUUGCAUCUGCCGUAACUACUCGUGAUGGCCCAGAGAUGUUUGGAUCUGCUUCCAAGUUGGUCAAUGAUGAAAGCAGGAUUAAAUAUGGGAACCUUUCUAAAGUAGACGUUGGUCAAUAUCAUAGUGCUACCUCUCUUUAUAGUUUAGAUGUUAAAAGUAAGAACUGUAUGAAAAUAGAACCACAAAUGAUUGGGAAAGAUCCCAGUAGUGCCGGGGAUGUUAUAUGUUUAGAAGAUUUGAUUGUCCAGAACGUGAAACCUCCUGUACAAGAUAAAUCUGACAAUAUUGACCAGCCAGCAGUCAAGCCUUCUGUUCUGCAUAGAAGUUCACAGAAAGCUCUGUUCAGGGAUCAAACUUCAUGUGGUUUCUUCCCUGGGUGUAGAAAUAAUGUAAAUUUAGUAGUUAGAGAUGAUGACGAAAACUCUUCUUGGUGCACUCCACCUAGAAAAAUAAACAAGGUCUUCUGGCCUCCAGCUCGAAAUGGUGACAGAAGAAUAAAAAGGUUACUAGCUUCCAGAUAUUGGAAAGCAACUUUAAAAUCGAGCAAACGCGAUUGCUAUAUUACUGGUUAGUGAUUAGUUCUUGUUUGAAUCUUCAUGUUUAUAUUAUAUAUUUGGUAUUCUGUGGGUGAUGUCACAAAGAACUUUAAUGACUAUGAUCCAGGGCUGGAUACAAGAUAUGCCUAUCACAACAGGGUUAAGGAUUAUAAACGCCAAAGGUCUUUGAGGGACCAUCCUAUCAAAAAGAGGAAACUCUAUGAUCAUACCUUCACAACAAAUGCCUAUGAAAGGGUCAAUAAAAAUAAUGCAUCUUUUUCAUCUGGAAAGAGUUAUGGUGGUAAUGCUAGUUCUGUUGCAACCAUGCAUGAAGGUUAAUUCCAAGUUAAUAGUCUCCAAUUCUUUUCUCUUCCUUCAUCACCUUCUAGACUGAUAAUAUACUAAAACCCUCUUGCAGCAACUGGAACUUCAAGUUUUGCUGCAAGCCCACAGAAGUGUGCACAGACAAAUGAUUCUCACGGUAUGUGGGUCUUUGGUGGAGUUAUUCAUUUUUAUUUGUUUUACUUUGACCAGGGAAGGAAAUAUAAAAAGGUUCUUAUAUGAAUAUGUUUACUAUUUCAUUCAGUGAAGCUAAAGAUCAAGUCUUUCAGGGUUCCCGAACUAUUUUUUGAGAUUCCGGAGACCGCGACAGUUGGCUCUCUGAAGGUGAGUUCAUUUAGUAUGAUACUUCAUUUUAAUUGUAAUCCUUACAGUCAAGUGAAGAUCUAACCGUUAUGAUCAGUAUAUAAGAUUUAUCUAAACAGUUUAGAGUUAUGUAUUCCUAGUGUCCUAAUAUCACUUCUAUUGUGGGAUUCUCAGACCUUUAAACUGGCCCCAUGUGGGAGUUAAUUGCUUUCCUUUCAGCUCAUUCAUGUACUCAUAUUAUCUUUGUUUAGCCAGUUAAUAUUUUCAAUUUCAAUUAUUUGCCGGUGUGGUGAAAAUUCUGCAGAGAACAGUCAUGGAAACAGUGACCUCUAUACUUGGUGGUGGACUUUGUGUUGGUGUUCUUGUAAAAGGGAAGAAGAUUAGAGAUGAUAACAAAACCCUAGUGCAGACUGGAAUAUAUAACGAUGACAGAGCUGAUGCUCUAGGUUUUACUCUGGAGCCCUUGUCUUCACAAGUACCUUCAGCUCAGUGUCUUGAAGAUCACACAUUUAUACCACCCGAAGAGUUAACUAGGCAAGCCUGAUAAAGUGUUUACUAUUCAAUUUACUUAUCCUUGUUUUUUGGCCUAGUUGACCUUUCAUCUUUCCGCAUUACUUAUGUUGGUUUCAUGUACUAGCCAGAACAUAUGAUAACUGGUGAAACCGGAAAGUCAGUAGCGUCUCUCUCUGUUUUUUUUCUUUUAGUUAGUAGCACCAGUAGUAACCUAAUGUAAUGGGCUUCUCAUUAGGUGUCCUCAUGCAUCAACUAUAGUCAAACAGGGGGAUUCUGAUGUUUUACCUGAAGUUUGCGCAACAAAAAUUUUCAAUUGUCUUGAGAGUGAUCAUGAUUCAGCACCCUCUCCUCCAGACAUGUCAAGAGACAAAUGCCAGAUAGAUUCAAGAGAUUUAAUUGCGAGUCCACAAAUUAGUGCGGAGGUACUAUCUGCUGUCCCCAUACAGAGUUCCAAGAAGUUAGACAUUGGUCAACGCAGAACUCGCAGACCAUUCUCUGUUUCUGAAGUGGAAGCAUUGGUACAUGCUGUUGAGAGGCUAGGAACCGGAAGGUAUGUUGCCGACAUCAUUAUGCAUGUCUCAUUGUCAACUUGCACUUUUAUAACAAACAACCAAAUCGCAAUCAUGGUAUUAGAUAUCUUGUGUUUCGGCUCCAGACUGACCACAUAAAUAUAUCAUCUGAAUGAUAUUAACUUCCCAAAGAAAAAAUGGGGAGAGAUAGUGUGAAAUGUUUAUGUCUUAAUUGUUGGUGCACUUGGUAGAAGUUAUGGUCCAUCUUGUUGUAUGAUAUUGUAUGCUUUUAUGUGGUGUUGGUUGCAUCGUUUUUUAUAUCAGUUUUGUUUUUAUUAACGUAUAUUGAGUUAAGGUUGCGCUUGUGUUCAUGUUUAGCUUUUCGCUUGUCUCCUAUAUUCACUCUAAUGAUACUAUCUUGUAGAUGGCGUGAUGUCAAAAUGAGAGCUUUUGACAAUGCCAAGCACAGAACAUAUGUGGAUUUGAAGGUAAGGCAGUCUAGUUUUGUGUGCAUACAUAUAUUACCGUAUAAUCUUAGAUAAGAAAUUUAUGUUGCUCCAGCCAAUUACAUGAUAUUUACUUCUGCCUCCACAUUUGGUAGAUUCAGUUAGUUUGUUGAGUUAGUUAUUUCGUUACUCUCCGGCCUAUAGGCAAGCCCUCUGCUUAACAUUUUAUAUCCUAAAAAGUUUACUAGAGUGAGGCCUCCUGUUACUUUUAUGUUCUGGAAUUUUUAUUAUUUAUUUUUACUAAAUUAACUGCAACCAACUUAAAGCUCUCGCUCGAGUUACAGGCUCACGCUACUAAGCCCAGCUGAAUUAAGGUAUUAUUAGUUGAUUCUUUGUGGAUAAAUCAUUUAAGUAGCUAUAUUCUAGAAAGCAGUCAUAUCUAGUAAUCACUUAAUUAGUCUUGCUUAGAUUUUGGCCGUCAUAUUUUAUCCCCCUUUGAAGUUUAGAGUCUAAAUUAUCAUGCCCAUCUCAAAACAACAAAUCAUUCACUUGUUAUAUUGUCUUUAGAAAUUUUUUUUUCCUGGGAAAUGAGUUGUUUGAGGAACGGUGACUGCUGUGUAUCUGAGUGUGGAAUCAAAUUAACUGCCUCUGAAGUUUGUUACCCCUGAUUAAUUAGUUUGAUAUAUUGUCCUUGGAAAGAAUUUUUUCUGUCAAAUGAGUUGUUUGAGGAACAUUGACUUUUGACUCUUGUAUCUGUUAGUGACUUAGCGUGGAAGAAUACAGUGUAUCUUAAGCUUGUUACCCUGAUUAAUCAGUUGACGGCCAGUUUUGUUGGGCUUAUGCAGGACAAGUGGAAAACAUUGGUACACACAGCAAGAAUAUCUCCUCAGCAGAGGAGAGGAGAGCCUGUGCCUCAGGAACUCCUUGACAGAGUCAUGGCAGCUCAUGCCUUCUGGUCACAGCAGCAAACCAAGCAGCACUCUGAGGCCUCUCUCCUCUUUUGACAUCCUUUGCAUACUCAGCAACCUAACCAGGAUUCUAAUCUUAAAGACGAGUUGACAAUGUUCUUAUUCAUUUUAUGUAAAAUUCUUGACAAGGUAUCGGUACAUUAUUCAGUCUCUCUCGUGGGUAGAGGUCACUGCUUAUGAAUUCUUUUGUAUGACAAAGUUUGUCUUGCUUAACUUUGGGUUUCCCAAUUGUGGAUAUAAUUCCGAGGAGCUUUUGUUUAUUUUCUUGUACCUAUCUUUGAUAGUGUUUGCAAUCAGAUGUACAAUGUGAUUUUAUAUCAAGUGUUUUGGAGCUCGGAAAAUUAGAUUCAGUUAAGCAACUAAGAAUGAGAGCAGGAGCCAAAAAGAUUUUAAGCAACUUACAAUGAGCAGGAGCCAAAAAGAUUUUGGGGGUCUGUCAGACAACUGCUAGACCACCCCAGCCAGGAAACCAGGCUGAGAACGAUCCUCUACGGCUCAUGAUGGUGCAGAGAUCAAGAAGAGCUGUUAAUCACGCUCUGGUCUAGCAGUCUUUUGUCAUCCACCAGACUUGGUGACCUGCCUCCUUAGAAAUCAAGGAUACAGAGGUACGAUCCUAUAGAACAGAUCCUGUUCAAGUAAGGUCGUGAGAAAUGAACCAAUACAACUUAUUUAAAAACAAAGCGAGUUUCUCAUUGUAUCUCGAGGUGGGUGUGACUUUGAUUCAACUUCAACUCACCAUUCGCGCACCGUAUCUAAAUAUGCACUCGACAAAUGUACAUUUUAAGGUGCCUGCACCAAUUCAUAUACAUCUAAAAGCAAGGUUGGGGUUUUUAUUUAUCACAAGCUGUAAUACAGCACAUAAUAAUUAUAUAGGACCAUGGGUUACAAGAGUCUAUCUACAAAAUCAAUCACUUCUCUUUGUUACAACUAAAUACAAUAGCAUAAAUUGUAUGGAAUUGAAUAAAGAGAUUCGUCCAAAGUAAAUACAAUAUCAUGUAAUUAAGAUUGUGUUCACUUUAUAUGGAUUAGAAUAAGAGGAGAAUGUAAUGAAAAUAAUUUUUUUAUAUAAUGAGGGAUGGUAGGAAAAAUAAAGCAUUUUUUUGCAGUAACGCCGGAUCAGAUUUCUAUUCAUACAGUUUGAAAUGCAAGGAUUAAAGGAAUGAUAUUAUUAUAACUCGUUAACCCAUAAUUAGAAUACAAAUUUUAUUUUAUUCUCUCAUGUUUCAUUCUAUAUAAUUAAACACAACAUAAAUUCAAUAAAAUGUUGUUUCGCGUUAGAUUGGGACCAAUAAAUUUCAUUCACACUUGAAAAAAAGAAAAUUUCUUGAAACCAAUCAAAUGUUAUAGAAAUAACAUGUUUGACAUCAGAUUCGGGGAAACGAAUUUCACUUUAAAUUUCUUGAACCGGAACCAAGUAUUCAAGAUACAGAUAUGUUAUCACAAAAUAUUGUAAUUCUCAAAAUAAUGCCAGCCAUGCAGCAAGGCAAAACGUCAAAGAUCCUAAGGGGCGAAAUUUAAAGACUAGAUUUGUAAGGCUUUACCCUGGGUUAGAGGGAGCCCCAAAAAAGUGUGAGAUCAUUCUCAAAUGAAGAAUCAAAAAAAAAGAUUAAGGUCUGUCAACUGCAUGACCACCCCAGCCAGGAAACCAAGCUGAGAACGAUCCUCUACGGCCCUUAAUGGUGCACAGACCAGGAAGGGCUGUUAAUUACGCUCUGAGGCCUGUCUCCUCUUUUGACAUCCUUUGCAUACUGAGCAACGUAAUCAAGAUUCUAAUCUUAAAGGAUGAGUUGACAAUGUUCUUAUUUAUUGUAUAAAAAAUUCUCUACAAGGAAUCGGUCCAUUAUUCAGUCUCUGUGGGUAGAUUUCGGUGCCUCUUGAACAGGUUUUUGAUAGAAUAAGAGGCCCUGCUAAUGAAUUCUUUUUGUAUGACACUGUUUAUUUGUCUUGCUUAACAAUGGGUUUUCUUGUUGUGCCUAUUAAUUUCAAGGAGCUGUUGUUUAUUUGUUGUUCCCAUCUUUGAUGGUGUUUGUAAUCAGAUGUACAAUGUGAUUUUAUAUUUCCCAUUCAAGUGAUUUGGAGGUCAGAAAAUUUGAUUUAGUUUUGUGGUUUGUGAAUGAGGAAGCAGCAGCUCAAGUUUUGUGAAUGAGGAAGCAGCAGCUCAAAUUUUCAUAAUUUGAAUCUAUUAGAUGUUUAGCUCAGCUCCAGGUUUCUAACAAGAUGUAGGACAGGAGCAAAAAAGGUUUUAAGCAACGAGCAAAAAAAAUUAUGAGGUCUGUCAGACAACUGCUUGACCACCCCAGCCAGGAGGAACCCAGGCUGAGAACGAUCAUCUACUGCUCUUGAUGGUGCACAGAGACCAGAAAGAGCUGUUAAUCACGCUCUGGUCAAGCAGUCCUUUUGUCAUCCACCAGACUUGGUGACCUGCCUCCUUAUUUUGUCAUCCACCAGACUUGGUGACCUGCCUCCUUAGGAAUCAAGGAUGCAUAGCAGGUAGAUUUUCCAACUUAUUAAGAAUUUGGCAGAAUAAACAUAAUGAAGAGGAAUAACUUGAACUAGAAUUGUCGGGGUGUAUCCAAAAGGACAAACCCUCCAAAAAUAGGCGUUGUGCUCAUCACAUGGCUGCGUGGUCUAAACACAAGACAUACAGUUGGUUUUUAUGAAAAUUUCGUAGUCAUGCUCUCUUUGUGUACUCGGUGUGGGAUAAGAAACCUGUCUAGUGGCAACCUAUGUGAAGGUAUUAACAGUUCGCAGUUGUCUGUGUUCCCUUUAAUAUGUUAAACAAUGGCAAGCAGUCCUAUUCUCCUCACUAUAACAAAUUCUUAAAUUUGUUCCGGCUUAUAUUAUGAGUUGUUUUCAGGUACAGUAGAAUGUAUUAUCAGUUUCAGAUAGAGUAGAAUUUAUUUUUACAUUCUUAGCCUUUCUUUUCAUAGCCAAAUUUAUGGGUAAAAACAUCUGGUGGUGGUGCCUGGGCACAUGUGCUUAGUCUAAGUUCUUAUUUUUAUUUUGAAACAAAGGAACUAGACCGCUUUAAAUUAAGUGUGAAAAAAAUUUAAAGGAACAAAAAUUCGACCAUUUCCUCUGUGGCCCUAGAUGGUGCACGUACCAGGGAUUGCUUCAAGCAGUGUUUUUUUUCAUCCACAAAACAAAGUGUCCUGCCUCCUUUGAGAUCAAGAAUGCAGAAAUAGUUAACGCUGUAUAAUUCUCUCUGUUCUCCCGACCAAGAUUUGAGAUGCUAAAUCACAGGUCAGGGAGGACAUACAUUUACCAAUUAUUCGACAUUCAAGGCUUAAUACCCGCAAGAAAAAAAUACCAAUAAUUUCCCAUUAGAUUUUUCAAGUGAAUGCAUGCAGAAUCCAGUUUGAAGCAUACAUGACACAUUGACACCGUGCCCUAGAACUAUGCUUUUUUAUUUCAAACUACAACAAUUAACACCAUUGCUUUCUUAAACCUUGUAGAACACCCCCAAUUCUUCACUAUAGACAGGUUAAAGUUUGAACUAGAACUGUUCGGGACGGUCCAGAAGGACAAAAGUCCAAAAAGACCGACCCUCCAAAAAUUUGCCAUAAGUGACGAUGCACAAAUUUUUCUUAAGCAAAAGGAAAGGUGAACGAAUAGUUCACAUGGCACAAAUUAUUCUUUAAGCAAAAGAGAGAGGCGAACGAUUGUUCGCUUUGUGCUGUGUAUUCCUUAAGCAAAAGUAAGAGUCUAUGCUCAUCACAAGGCUGAAUGAGUUUAAAAGGCAGGGGCAGUUAAGAUAUAUGGUCUUUCUAGAUAAUGUUCUUCUCGUUUUUCUCGGUGUGGGAAAUUGUGAUAUGUUCAUAUGAUUUUUGGGACGUAUGAUACAGAAUCUUACUUUGAAUAGUUAGCUCUGUUCUAACGAACCUAGAUGGCCGCUUCUCCAUUUUUCCCACAAGACUAAAAAACCGUGCGUCCGGAUCUAGAUUUUUUCCAACUUUGACUCUCAAAAACUAUUAUAGGGUUCUCGUUUAAAUAUUUCAUGACUAAAUUUUGUAGGGCUUUACCCUGGGUUAGAGGGAGCCCUUCCAGAAAUUCUCGAUGGCACAAGGCAGAACCAAGGCCAAGGAGGGGGUUUGGAAAUAGUUUGCAACCAGCAAUUGACGCGCCUCGGUUAGUACCUCACUAGCUGCGUCAUUGCCCCAAGCGCAAAGAUACGUUCUUCAAAGGCCUUGUUCCUCUUUUAAACUGAUGUCUUUCACACGUUCCGGACAACAACCCGAUGUGGUACAUAUGACUGUCUCAUUUAAAUUCAGAAGACUUCAGGUAUUUUCUUGAGUGAUAGAUGCGAAAUGGAUAUUGCUCUCAAGAGUCCAACAGGAAAGAAUACUGUGAUAAUUUUUUGAUUGUUUUCGUCAUGUCAAAGUGGUUUAAAAUAAACUUCAAAAAAAAUCGAUAUCGCAAAUCAAGCAAAACAUGAAUUUUUCAACAAUUUCAAAUAUUAAAAACACUUGGCAAGACAAAAACUUUAUUAUUAUCCUUCCAAAUAUAAUUCAUAAAAAUAAAAAGUAAAAUUAUUAUCAUUAACAUAUAUUAAUAUUAAAAGAGUACUUAAAAUAAAAUUUUAAACUUAUAAAGAUAUAUCGAAAUUUGAAAGUCUAAUAAAAAAUUUAUAUAAAUAAGCAUGGUUCUUCUUAACAAUAAUGUCUUUUAGUCCAAAAUAGAUAUGAUAUUAUCAUGCAACUGAUAAAAAACAAAUAAAUUCUUUUUCUUGUAAACUUAUUCUUCUACGAUGCGACACUUGCUCUUCGCAGCAUUCUAUUGUUUGCCUAUGCGUACAUUCUAAGGUUCAUCUGUGUUGAUGAUAUUCUAUUGGCAAUCAGUAUAAACUUAAAAGCAAAUAAAUAUCAUGCUUCUCCAGGAAUAAUAUAAAACACAUUUUUAUGAUGAAAAAUUCUAUAAACCAAUACUUCAUUUGUUUUAGUUGUAAAUGAACCCUUUGAGACAGUAGUUGAUAUUACACUCAGGCCUUAGUCAGUUGAAACACAGCUAUUUUAGUUUCACGAAUAAAUCUAAUGAUUGAAACACACUUCAAAAACGAAAACUAUAAAAUUUAUAUUCAUAUUGUACAUUUGAUAUUGUCACGACAAAAUUCCACAGAACUUUUUUUUUUUUCUGCUUUUGCCACGUCUCGAAAUUAUCUUGGGAUGAAAUUGCUACAAAGAUAAGCAGAAUAAAAGAACAAUUCCUCGUAGAAGAAUUCAUCUGCAAUGCUUUUGUCGUUAAAUUAUUUUUCCUUUUCAGAGGUGUCCAGUUCCUGGCCUAAUUCCUUAUAAUUGUUUUCUGUUUGCUAUGCUUUUUGGUAUCAUAUAUUGAUACAAGUUACCAAGAUAUCUCAUGAGAAACCAUUAGUUUGAUUCAUAUUUCAUGUUCGAUUUAGAGCAUCUCCAAGAGACUUUUCAUUUAGGCUCCUAACUUGAGAUUUGAGGAGGGAGAAGAAAAAUGUCUCUCCAAAAGACUCUUAAGUGGCUCUUAAAUCACUAAGGUUGUGUUCACUUCGCAUGAAUGGAAUGGUGCCGGAAUGGAAUGAGAAGAGGAAUGGAAUGGGAAAGGAAUGGUCAUUCCAUUCCCUUGUUCACUUGUCCAAUUAUGUAGGAUGGAAUGGAAUGAAAUUAGCCAAAUUUUUUAAUUUAAUUAUAAUGGAAGUCAUAUUUAAUUUAAUCAUUAUAAAACCCGAUUGUCAGUUUUAAUUUGAAAAAAAAUAUUUCGAUCGACAAAAUAAAUAUCAUUAACUAGAAGUAAUAUAAUACAAAUUUUAAAAUGAACUUCAUCAAAAUAAGUAUAAAAUAAAAGCCGACAAGUCUCGUACAAGCACCCAUCAAGUUUACGAUACUAAUACACGACACCUAUUUUAACAACUGUACACCGAAGUUUCGCUACAUGACCAUGUAAAAACUUCAUGUCUUUGGUUCUGGAGGACCAUGCUCGUCGUGGAACCAUGCUCAUUACUCCAAAUAUAAUAACAAAAUGAGAGAGCGCAUACUUCCAUUUGGGCGAGCCAUCAAAUAUAUAUACUGAAAUAAAUGUAGAUACAAGUUCACAAGUCAAAAAAAUAUAAAGAGCUUAAUAAAAUAUCUUGUAAGCUAGUGAUUUACAGUGUGUUGUACUUAUGUUUUACCUCCAGGAGUUGUUCACUUUCUGAUUAAACCUACAAACACCAUAAAUUGAAGUAAAGCAUGGUUAGAAACUUCAGCAAAGUGAUUUAAACAUAAAGAUGGCAGCACAAAAAAAGACAAAUAACCACCGAUAGCAUAGUUUUAUACACUAAUUAGGAAGAUUAUAGAAAAAUCUAAUGAUUCCAACAUUUUAGCACUUUUUAUGACGAACUAGUGCAAUGAAAUUUUAACACUAUAGAAAAUCAUCAAGCAUUAUCAGUGAUAAGUGAUUAAUUACCAGGAACAUCGUGAUUUUGGUUCUUCCUAAGAAGGUUCUUCUUGGGACGACAAUGUCGGUGAGCAAAAAAGCCUUUCAAUUUCCACUCGCAGCCCACCUGAACCAUCUCUGUUACCACCACAUGUUCCCUUCUCUUCUGCAUGACAAUAAUGCUCAAUAGCCUUCUCGGCACAAGAAUUAGUCCAUAAUUCAGGGGUUCUGUAAAUGCCUUUUCGAUACGUCUAUGCAUCAAGCUGAAGACCCGGUUUAUAAACCAAUCAAUCUUUUAAAUUCUAAAAAUAAAAAACUAAUGUGUUCCUUGAUUUUUAAAGAUCCUUGCAGUAAAAUCUACUGCAGUGUUACUAGACCAUCAGAUAUAUUAAGCAACCUGAUAUAAGAUUCAUAUAUGAUAUCUAAAAUAGACUAAAGCAAUUAAACCCUGAUCAUACGUGACAGUAAUGUUACAAUUCUUUUUUAUGAAAUUCGCUAAACGCCAUGAUUAGUUGCUUGAAUUCGUUCUCUCUUACUAUGAAGAUACUGAAACUGGGGAAAAGAGAAAGAAAUCUUAAAAUACCGAAAGAGACAGAGUCAUACAUAGGACAAUUAGUAUCGCUAUAAAACCUUUUCUUAACACCUUGAUAUUUUAGAAGACCUAAUAACGUAACAUAAUAACAGAGUUCCUAUGGAGUGAGGUAUCACGUUCAUUAGAUUUUUCUACCUCUCAAUACAUAUGAGGUUUUAGGAGUGGAAGGCAUUUCUCCAAACACCUCUCUGUUACAAACUUGAAAAAGCAAAUAGAAAAGUAAUUGCUAUAAUACAGAAAGGGUACAUUGGUGCAUGUCAAGAGCAUAUAGUUAAUGAUAAAACAAUUCAGACCUUCAUUAAAAUAACUCAGCAAGUAUGAAGUAACCUGACCUGCCCUUUUGUGCUUGGUUUUAGUUAGGCUUUAGUCUAGGAUUGACAAAGAUCUUUAGCCAAUCAUUACCCUCGCUCUCUUGCUCUUUCUAAAUAUCCCUUGCAGACUCUGUUGCAGCAUCACUACAUCCAAUUAACUCAAUCCACUCAAGUGUGCAUAUAUUACCAAAGUCAUCCGGAAUUUCCAGCAGAUAUGGGCAUCGGUACACCUGUAAGCGCUUCUGGACUUGUUUCUUCAGAUACAGACAAUACUCCAAAAAUACUCAGAUAAUAAAAUAUGAUUAAGCUGUUAAUAAAGUAAGUUUUUGACUAUGUUUCAGAAGAUAAAGGAUGCAACAAAAAGAACUAAAGCAUACAUAAUUUGAGUAGUUAAUAUGAUACUAGCAGACUGGAUUGUCAAGGACUAAAGCAGAACUAGCAACCAUGUGAUCAGAUAGAAUAUUAACAAAAAUUAUUUCAAAAUUAAUCAUAAAGGUACCUUUCAAAAUUAUAGAAAAAUCUAAUGAUUCCAACUAUUAAACAUCGAGUCAGCUAGGUUGUUUCUAAAUGUCGUCCAUGCAUCUGAAGUGCCAAUAGUUGUGAUGUGAUCUUCGUCCGCCUCAUGCUCAUUUUGCUCAUGAUGGUCUUCUGGCCCAUGCUGAUCAAACUCAAUUUCAGCUUGAUCAAAUUCUGAUUCAGUCCGAAUGUAAUUGUGAAGAAUACAAGAAGCUAAGACGAUCCUAUUUUGUGUCUUCACGGGAUAAAAUGAUGGGCUUCUAAGGAUCGCCCAUCUCUUCUUUAGGAUGCCAAAACAUCUCUCAAUUACAUUCCUAGCUGACGAGUGCAUCAUAUUGUAAUAUUCACGGGCAGAUGUGGGCUGAUUAUCGUCAUCCCAAUCAUUCAAAUGAUAUCUUUCUCCUCUAAAUGGUGCCAAAAAACCUUCCCCAUUAGUAUAACCAGCAUCAACUAGAUAAUAAGUACCUUCAUUACAAAAUAAAGUAUGUCAUAUAUGGUUGUAUUCUAUUUCACCGAAUAUUUAACAAUGGAAAUAUAGUAAAUUACCGGUUGUGACAAUCAAUCUAUGUCUAUAUAUAGCAUCUCUUAAGACUCUUCCAUCUGCGGCUGAUCCUUCCCAACCCGUCAAUACGUACUGAAAUUGCAAAUUAGGUGAACAAGCUCCAAGAACAUUUGUCGUAAUUUCACCUCUCCUAUUUCUGUACUUUGGCCUAUCUUCUACGGGUAUGGUCAUCUUAAUGUGUUUCCCAUCCAAAGCUCCCAAACAGUUCUAUAAGAAAAUAUACAUUAUUAUCUUAAUGGCAUACAAGUUAUGUAAAUAAUGUAGAAUAUAGUGUAUUUGGUAUACCUUAAAAUGCUUCCACGUUUUAUCUGUUGAGUUGCUUUAAAUUGGUUCGGGUUUUUUAAAAUAAUCUCCUUGUAACCUCAAAACCCCAUUUAGUACCGCAUGAAAAUACCUAGUAAUUGAUUGCUUUGAUCUUUGAAAAUCUGUGUGAACAAUUCGCAUUUUUGUGUGGUGUCCUAGGAUAUAAAGAAACAUAGCAACUUUUUCUACCACGUUAACAUGCCUACUUUGUUGCACAUAACCCCUCGACUCCAACAAGAAACACAACUUAUAAAACGAUCUUUUAUCCAUUCGAAGAUUUUCAACACAGCUAGCAGGGCCUUCAUGAAUCAGCCUAUGUAUAUAUUGAUUUCGCUCUAUCUUAAAAAUCGUGUAUCGCUCUCUCAAAGUUUUUCUCGUCAAUUGAGAGAGAAACAUUAGAUGAAAAACAGCAUUGAAUGAUAAAAUCAUUCGCAUCCAUAGUGUAUAUACUAAGAUAGCUUUCUUCUUCCGAAUAUGUUGAAUCAUAGUCAACGGAAGUCGGGCCAUGGCUACAUUAAAAUAUAACAGCAGAAACAAUUAUAAAUAGAUUGCUCAAUACAAACAACUAGCCUAUAUAAUGGACCAGAAUAACUAUACCAUUUAGCCUAAAGAACAGGGAGCAAGUACAGAACCAAGGUAGCAUAUUCUUGAGCCUAAAGAUAAGAAUUUAUCUGUGUGUACCAAGAUUAGCAGUGCCAUUGUUGUGCUGAAAAACAGCAGAACUCAUUCAACCUUAUAUUCUUGAGCUUAUGCAGACACAGACCAACCUAAACACAUAAUACUAAUUCCCAGUACUCACACGUAAAUAGACUGCACCUCAAUACAUACAAAUGGUCUAUAAAAUCAACUCGGGAAAAUAUUCUCAAACAUAUAAAUCAAACAUUUCAUAAUAUCGACAAUGCAUACAUAAUCAAAAUCAACAAUUCAAGCUAUAAACAUGAUCAAAUGUUAACUUUAAUUAAAAAUCAAUCAUUUUGAACAAAUUAUAACUUCCACAUGAAAAAAAAUGAGGUUCAAUAUCUGGUCCAGUAUGAAUUAUACACCAAAGCAGGGUGAUACAUAGAAUUCCAACAUCAAACACAUCGACACAACCAAUCUAACGCUAUAAUCAGCAACAUAUAUAGGGAGAGAGGGAGGGGAGAGAGAGAGCUAACCGAGAGAGGGGGGAGGGAGAGAGAGAGCUAACAGAGAGAGAGAGAGAGAGGGAGAGAGAACGCGAGCUAACCGAGAGAGAGAGGGGGGGGAGAGAGAGAGCUAACCGAGAGAGAGACUGCUGGAGCUCUAAUUGGGAGAGAGAGCGCUAUUCGGAGAGAGAGAAGCACACGGAGAGAACAAUCGUAAGCUAGGUCAGAGAGUAUCCAUGGCCCGACAUUUUAAUUUGAAAUGGGAAUGAAUCUGUCCUGCGUGUUUGAAAAGGAAUGGGUUUGUUAUUAUUUUAGCCCAGACGGAAUGGACUUGGAAAAGCCAUUCCAUUCUGUUGGCCCAACCAAACAACAUAAUUAUUCAUUCAGCCCAGAAUGGUCAUUCCAUUCAGCCCAAAAGCAUUCCAUUCAGGUGAAGUGAACAGAGCCUAAAGCCUCUUGUUUCUCUCUCCUCUCUCCUCAAAGUUAAGAGCCACCACAUUGCUCCUAACUUAUUUUUUCACAAUAAAAAAAUCAUUCCCUCCAAUUCAUCUCUAUCUUUCCAACUCUUUUGUUAUAGUGGAGCUCAAUAUAUGAAUAAAAUAUGAAAUAGAGAAGAGAUGUAGAGAGUAUUGUUGGAGUUUACACUCUUAACUUUGUCCUAAAUUGCUAAGAGCCACAUUUUUUAUAUUAUAUUUAGGAGCCAACAAGGAGGCUCUAGUAGAUGCUCUUAUAUACAUAGGCAAUUAUCAAAAUUGUACAGUCAUCAUGAUGUAAUCUUCUAAAAGUUUUGCGGAGAAACAAACACAACCACAAGGCACAAACAAAUAACGUAAGAUUGCUUUACACAACCACAAGGCACAAACAAAUAACUUAAAAUUGCUCGUUUUGGUGGGGUGGGCCAGGCCAAACUAUAGUGCAAAUGUGCUUUGUUGACCCUCAGCCUUUUUAACUACACAUGGUUUAACAUCAAGUAUCACUUCACAACAUAAAAGCUUAUUAUACAAGCACAGAGACGAGAUCUUUCUAAAAGUUUUGGGAAUUUUGAAACAAUUUAGCGUAUAAUGUAAAAAAAAUUGCUCGUUCUGGUGGAGGGAGGCUCGCUGUCUUGAAUUAGAUCAAAAGGCCUUCAAUAUUUCAAACAUUUGUCUGGGCUAAAUUCAUAUAAAAAUAUGCAACCCAGGAGAACAUAAUAUUAAGAACUAGAUUUGGUGGGGUGAGCCACUCAGGCCAAAGCUGUCGUGCAACGCAUAGGCGACUCGCGAAGCCCCCAAUAGCAAGCUAUUGUGACGGGACUUCCCUCUCAAAACAUAAAUUUAAUAUCGUGUGAACCAAUGGCCCACAUAUCAGAUAUUAAACUGAUAAGAACAGAUACUACACUUGAUCUUAGCCAAAAGGCCGAGA
rnacentral:lncRNA from 1 species